GCAGUGACGUCACACUCAUCGGAUACAGUUGACCCAAUUUCAGCCCUCCCAUAGAGUGACAACAGCACAGUACCCGAACAAAUGCUAACAGUUCAACGGUCUACAGUGAAUAAACAGAUGGAGUAAACUGCAGAGGGCGGGAGAGAGCUGUGGAAGGGCUGCACUUCCCUAUGGCUGAAGUCACACUCCUGCAGUUGGCAUUCCACAAGCAAACAGAACAGACAGGAGGAGGAGAAGAAGAUGGCAACCAGGCUGUCUCCAAGGCUGAGUGGAAAUGAGCAGAAACUUGUGCGGCGGUAUAAGGAGGAGAGAGCUGCAAGCCACCAAGCCACGUACGUAUGGAAGGCGCGGCAGAAAGGCAGCAGGACUCGGGCUUCCGGCUGCCUCUUCAAGCAGGCGACUAUAACGGAUGACAUUUAAGGUAGCAGCUGUACCAUUACACCACCAAAGACAGAUUCGACUGCUCGCUCUUCUUCAAAGUGGUCAUGUGAUGCGACUUUUACACAGGAAGCCAACACAGGCAGAGGCGGACCGAUUAAGGAUCUGCGGUGACUACGGUAACUAACUCUCCUGGGCCAACCCGGUGGAGAGACAACACAACAGAGGGGCCCCACAGUCCAUGGGAGGGCCCAUUUUAUGCAAAGGGACACAUUCUUGGCAAAUUGCGCUUUGCUGCCGUGACAUCAAAUCCGCCCCGAGGCUCUGCCCCCAAUUAGCGAAUAAAAUUCACCUGAUCUCCUGUCAGUCCCUGUUGGAGUGGUGGUACACGGCAGCCUCUGAUACAAGACCUGGGGAAAAAAAUUCAACAAGAGGAGGCUUGUAUUAGGACCAAAAUGUCCGCCACCAAAUUUCAGCCCCCCCUUAGGCUAAUUAUAGAUGCUGACUUAGCAUGCUCCAUAGCUGUGAAUGGUAGGUCAUACUCUAUGUGGACUGUGAUUGGCUGAUAAUAAGUCCAGGGCGUCCAU